GGGGCUUACGUUAGAGGAAAAGCAGGAAAGAGUACAUUCAAGAAAAAAGACAGAAAGAGGGGUGGGGGCUUGAAAAGAAGGUUUGACAACCUGCAUUUAAAAAGGUUUGUGUCUGUGCUCUCUUCACAAAUCCCUCUCUUCCACCGUCUGAACCUCUCGACCUCUCGAAGAUAUAUAGCCAACAUGUCAGAGCUUUGCAAUGCAAUGGACAUCCUCCUGGGAUUCUACUAUGAAGGAGCCCCAAAGAAAUUGAUCAAGAAAGAGCUUGCUGAAAUGUUAAACAAACAAUACCCUGACACACCCAAAGACAAACCUGACGUGAAGAAUUUGUUCACUAUGAUGGCUGCCGAUCCUGAUGGUGAAGUUUCUUUCACGGAGUUUGUCACUAUUGUAGCAGACUUCAACAUGAUGAUCAGUGCUUAAUAAAUCCUUU